UCGAGAAUCUUCGGCAAUGGGCGAAAGCCUGACCGAGCGACGCCGCGUGCGGGAUGAAGGCCUUCGGGUUGUAAACCGCUGUGGAGAGAGAGUAAAUUUUGAGCGACCUCUCUAGAAAGCACGGGCUAAGUUCGUGCCAGCAGCCGCGGUAAGACGAACCGUGCAAACGUUAUUCGGAAUCACUGGGCUUAAAGGGUGCGUAGGCGGCCCCAAGGGUUGGAUGUGAAAUCCCACGGCUCAACCGCGGAACUGCGUCCAAAACGGUGGGGGUCGAGUGAGACAGGGGUGAGUGGAACUUCGGGUGGAGCGGUGAAAUGCGUUGAUAUCCGAAGGAACACCGGUGGCGAAAGCGACUCACUGGGUCUCUACUGACGCUGAGGCACGAAAGCCAGGGUAGCGAACGGGAUUAGAUACCCCUGUAGUCC
rnacentral:rRNA from 1 species